rnacentral:sRNA from 1 species
AGUUUAAUUUUGAGUUUUUGAUAACAUUGACAUUCAAGUUUUUUCAAAUAAUAAACCUUCAAAAUAUUAGACUUACCAAAUAAUAUAAUACACAAUCAUUUCUCUUAUAUUGAUAUAUGCAAUGACAGAAGAUCUAAAAGUAUUGACUUUAAUGAUACUUUAAUUUUUGCUUUCUUUUUAUU